GGGUUUAUUCAUUGGUCAGGCUUAACUGUCUGCACUGGUGAGAUGAAUCUCUACCUUCUGAGGAACUUUCAUGCCAUUUAUUUGGUGUGAUGGGAAAUCAGGACUGUUACUUUGAAAAAAUUAGAGUGUUUAAAGCAGGCUCACGCUUGAAUACAUUAGCAUGGAAUAACGAAAUAGGACGUUUGAUUCUAUUUUGUUGGUUUCUAGGAUCGACGUA
rnacentral:rRNA from 1 species